GAUGAAGAACGUAGUGAAAUGCGAUACUUGGUGUGAAUUGCAGAAUCCCGUGAACCAUCGAGUCUUUGAACGCAAGUUGCGCCCGAAGCCAUUAGGCCGAGGGCACGCCUGCCUGGGCGUCACACGUCGUUGCCCCCCCCAUCUACUCCUUCGGGAUUGCGGGGGGCGGAUGAUGGCCUCCCGUGCGCCUCGCCGCGCGGUUGGCAUAAAUGCCAAGUCCUCGGCGAUGCACGCCACGACAAUCGGUGGUUGCGAAACCUCGGUUGCCCGUCGUGUGCGGUCGUCGCGCAUCGAGGGCUCGAAAAAAUUGCCGGGUUCCGGCUCGGCUUUCAACGCGACCCCAGGUCAGGCGGGGUUACCCGCUGAAUUUAAGCAUAUCAAUAAGCGGAGGA
rnacentral:misc_RNA from 1 species